GCUGGUGUGACUAGCACUAUGGAACCACUACGAACCAUCCCGAACUCGUGGGUGAAACAUAGUAGCGGCGACGAUACUGCUUGGGAGACCGAGUGGGACAAUAGUUCCAUGCCAGCU
rfam:Cyanobacterium aponinum PCC 10605, complete genome.